UCUUAACUUAAGUUAUAAAAUCACCAGACAGGAUGCAUGGGCGCUAAAUGCAUUGAGAUGUACAGCCCUACAGUUCUAAUCUUUAAUUUUUCUGUCCAAAAAAAGUUUCUAAAAGUUAAAUAUUUUAUGAAUUUGGAGAUGAUGAGGUUGGUUUGACAUUUACAUUAUGUAGUGCGGUGAGUCCAUCAACCAGGAGAUUUCAAAGGCUAGAUUAAAAAUCAAAUGCCCAAGCAGAAUUGUGACUCUAUGUACAUAUAAAACACAGUUUUGAUAUUGUGGUAUAUCAGUCUGUGUGGGAAGUACAUCUUUUGGUGCCAUUACAUGAUUUGUGCUGGCACACAAUGUUACAAUGUUUCCCGUGGUGGGCGAGGUGACAAAAGAUUUACUAUAAAGAUCUUCUAUAUACAAUAAUUAACAACUAAUUAUGGAAUGAUUUAAAGGGAUUAGUUUUACUACUGGGUUGGAUUGGUAUCAAAGUCCUCAUAGCACUAGGACUAUGCCUGUGCACCAAAACUGUCAUAGAUAAGAACAAAUGAAACCAUUUCAAAAAUAGUUAUUUCAAAAACCUCUAGUAAUCCAUUAGCAGUACGUCAGUCUCUCUUCAGUAACAAAAGAUUCCUCUCUAA